UACGAAGGGGGCGAGCGUUGUUCGGAUUUACUGGGCGUAAAGGGCGCGCAGGCGGCAGACCAAGUCAGGCGUGAAAGCCCCGGGCUUAACCUGGGAGGUGCGUCUGGGACUGGUAUGCUAGAGUUCGGGAGAGGAGAGUGGAAUUCCCAGUGUAGAGGUGAAAUGCGUAGAUAUCAGGAGGAACACCUGUGGUGUAGACAGCUUACUGGACCAUUUCUGACGCUGAGACACGAAAGCGUGGGUAGCAAACAGG
rnacentral:rRNA from 1 species